UACGAGGGGGGCAAGCGUUGUUCGGAAUUAUUGGGCGUAAAGAGCUCGUAGGCGGUGCGGCAAGUCGGAAGUGAAAUCUCCAGGCUCAACUUGGAGGCUGCUCCCGAAGCUGCCGCGCUAGAGUGCGGGAGAGGCCAGUGGAAUUGCAGGUGUAGCGGUGAAAUGCGUAGAUAUCUGCAGGAACACCCGUGGCGAAGGCGGCUGGCUGGACCGCAACUGACGCUGAGGAACGAAAGCUAGGGGAG
rnacentral:rRNA from 1 species